rnacentral:rRNA from 1 species
UUAAGCGACUAAGCGUACACGGUGGAUGCCCUGGCAGUCAGAGGCGAUGAAGGACGUGCUAAUCUGCGAUAAGCGUCGGUGAGGUGAUAUGAACCGUUAUAACCGGCGAUUUCCGAAUGGGGAAACCCAGUGUGUUUCGACACACUAUCAUUAACUGAAUCCAUAGGUUAAUGAGGCGAACCGGGGGAACUGAAACAUCUAAGUACCCCGAGGAAAAGAAAUCAACCGAGAUUCCCCCAGUAGCGGCGAGCGAACGGGGAGGAGCCCAGAGCCUGAAUCAGUGUGGUGUGUUAGUGGAAGCGUCUGGAAAGGCGCGCGAUACAGGGUGACAGCCCCGUACACAAAAAUGCACAUGCUGUGAGCUCGAUGAGUAGGGCGGGACACGUGGUAUCCUGUCUGAAUAUGGGGGGACCAUCCUCCAAGGCUAAAUACUCCUGACUGACCGAUAGUGAACCAGUACCGUGAGGGAAAGGCGAAAAGAACCCCGGUGAGGGGAGUGAAAAAGAACCUGAAACCGUGUACGUACAAGCAGUGGGAGCCUCUUUAUGGGGUGACUGCGUACCUUUUGUAUAAUGGGUCAGCGACUUAUAUUCUGUAGCAAGGUUAACCGAAUAGGGGAGCCGAAGGGAAACCGAGUCUUAACUGGGCGUUAAGUUGCAGGGUAUAGACCCGAAACCCGGUGAUCUAGCCAUGGGCAGGUUGAAGGUUGGGUAACACUAACUGGAGGACCGAACCGACUAAUGUUGAAAAAUUAGCGGAUGACUUGUGGCUGGGGGUGAAAGGCCAAUCAAACCGGGAGAUAGCUGGUUCUCCCCGAAAGCUAUUUAGGUAGCGCCUCGUGAAUUCAUCUCCGGGGGUAGAGCACUGUUUCGGCAAGGGGGUCAUCCCGACUUACCAACCCGAUGCAAACUGCGAAUACCGGAGAAUGUUAUCACGGGAGACACACGGCGGGUGCUAACGUCCGUCGUGAAGAGGGAAACAACCCAGACCGCCAGCUAAGGUCCCAAAGUCAUGGUUAAGUGGGAAACGAUGUGGGAAGGCCCAGACAGCCAGGAUGUUGGCUUAGAAGCAGCCAUCAUUUAAAGAAAGCGUAAUAGCUCACUGGUCGAGUCGGCCUGCGCGGAAGAUGUAACGGGGCUAAACCAUGCACCGAAGCUGCGGCAGCGACACUAUGUGUUGUUGGGUAGGGGAGCGUUCUGUAAGCCUGCGAAGGUGUACUGUGAGGUAUGCUGGAGGUAUCAGAAGUGCGAAUGCUGACAUAAGUAACGAUAAAGCGGGUGAAAAGCCCGCUCGCCGGAAGACCAAGGGUUCCUGUCCAACGUUAAUCGGGCAGGGUGAGUCGACCCCUAAGGCGAGGCCGAAAGGCGUAGUCGAUGGGAAACAGGUUAAUAUUCCUGUACUUGGUGUUACUGCGAAGGGGGGACGGAGAAGGCUAUGUUGGCCGGGCGACGGUUGUCCCGGUUUAAGCGUGUAGGCUGGUUUUCCAGGCAAAUCCGGAAAAUCAAGGCUGAGGCGUGAUGACGAGGCACUACGGUGCUGAAGCAACAAAUGCCCUGCUUCCAGGAAAAGCCUCUAAGCAUCAGGUAACAUCAAAUCGUACCCCAAACCGACACAGGUGGUCAGGUAGAGAAUACCAAGGCGCUUGAGAGAACUCGGGUGAAGGAACUAGGCAAAAUGGUGCCGUAACUUCGGGGAGAAGGCACGCUGAUAUGUAGGUGAAGCGACUUGCUCGUGGAGCUGAAAUCAGUCGAAGAUACCAGCUGGCUGCAACUGUUUAUUAAAAACACAGCACUGUGCAAACACGAAAGUGGACGUAUACGGUGUGACGCCUGCCCGGUGCCGGAAGGUUAAUUGAUGGGGUUAGCGGUAACGCGAAGCUCUUGAUCGAAGCCCCGGUAAACGGCGGCCGUAACUAUAACGGUCCUAAGGUAGCGAAAUUCCUUGUCGGGUAAGUUCCGACCUGCACGAAUGGCGUAAUGAUGGCCAGGCUGUCUCCACCCGAGACUCAGUGAAAUUGAACUCGCUGUGAAGAUGCAGUGUACCCGCGGCAAGACGGAAAGACCCCGUGAACCUUUACUAUAGCUUGACACUGAACAUUGAGCCUUGAUGUGUAGGAUAGGUGGGAGGCUUUGAAGUGUGGACGCCAGUCUGCAUGGAGCCGGCCUUGAAAUACCACCCUUUAAUGUUUGAUGUUCUAACGUUGGCCCGUAAUCCGGGUUGCGGACAGUGUCUGGUGGGUAGUUUGACUGGGGCGGUCUCCUCCUAAAGAGUAACGGAGGAGCACGAAGGUUGGCUAAUCCUGGUCGGACAUCAGGAGGUUAGUGCAAUGGCAUAAGCCAGCUUGACUGCGAGCGUGACGGCGCGAGCAGGUGCGAAAGCAGGUCAUAGUGAUCCGGUGGUUCUGAAUGGAAGGGCCAUCGCUCAACGGAUAAAAGGUACUCCGGGGAUAACAGGCUGAUACCGCCCAAGAGUUCAUAUCGACGGCGGUGUUUGGCACCUCGAUGUCGGCUCAUCACAUCCUGGGGCUGAAGUAGGUCCCAAGGGUAUGGCUGUUCGCCAUUUAAAGUGGUACGCGAGCUGGGUUUAGAACGUCGUGAGACAGUUCGGUCCCUAUCUGCCGUGGGCGCUGGAGAACUGAGGGGGGCUGCUCCUAGUACGAGAGGACCGGAGUGGACGCAUCACUGGUGUUCGGGUUGUCAUGCCAAUGGCACUGCCCGGUAGCUAAAUGCGGAAGAGAUAAGUGCUGAAAGCAUCUAAGCACGAAACUUGCCCCGAGAUGAGUUCUCCCUGACUCCUUGAGAGUCCUGAAGGAACGUUGAAGACGACGACGUUGAUAGGCCGGGUGUGUAAGCGCAGCGAUGCGUUGAGCUAACCGGUACUAAUGAACCGUGAGGCUUAACCUU